rnacentral:rRNA from 1 species
UACGGAGGAUCCAAGCGUUAUCCGGAUUUAUUGGGUUUAAAGGGUGCGUAGGCGGAAUUGUAAGUCAGUGGUGAAAGCCCUUCGCUUAACGAAGGAACUGCCAUUGAUACUGCAAAUCUUGAGUACAUUUGAUGUGGGCGGAAUGUGUCAUGUAGCGGUGAAAUGCUUAGAUAUGACACAGAACACCGAUUGCGAAGGCAGCUCACAAAACUGUAACCUGACGCUGAGGCAACGAAAGCGUGGGUAGUCAAACAGG